rnacentral:rRNA from 1 species
UACGGAGGGGGCUAGCGUUGUUCGGAAUUACUGGGCGUAAAGCGCACGUAGGCGGCUUUGUAGGUUAGAGGGGAAAGCCCGGGGCUCAACUCCGGAAUUGCCUUUAAGACUGCAUCGCUAGAACGUCGGAGAGGUAAGUGGAAUUCCGAGUGUAGAGGUGAAAUUCGUAGAUAUUCGGAAGAACACCAGUGGCGAAGGCGACUUACUGGACGACUGUUGACGCUGAGGUGCGAAAGCGUGGGGAGCAAACAGG